AUCGCUUCUCGGCCUUUUGGCUAAGAUCAAGUGUAGUGUGAGACCUGUAAACCCUAAUUUCCUUAGGCAAUUGUUAGUAGAGUUUUCUUUUAUAUUCUCCUAGAUAUCCUCCUGAUACUGUCCUCUUCUGUGAAGACCAUAACAUGAACUUCAUGACCUUAAAUAAAGCAAUCAUUAUUUAUAGAUGAUAGGACUU
rnacentral:snRNA from 1 species